CAGCGAAGGGAGCAAUCUGACCCCAGCACAUCACUACCCAGACUUCAGAUUCAAGACAUAUGCUCCGCUAGCAUUUCGGUACUUCAGAGAACUUUUUGGUAUCAAGCCUGAUGAUUACUUGUACUCCAUCUGCAGUGAACCUCUGAUAGAACUGUCCAACCCUGGAGCCAGUGGGUCCUUGUUUUUUGUGACAAGUGAUGAUGAAUUUAUCAUCAAAACUGUUCAGCAUAAAGAAGCCGAGUUCCUUCAGAAGCUGCUGCCAGGCUAUUACAUGAAUUUAAACCAGAAUCCCAGGACUCUUUUGCCAAAAUUCUAUGGACUGUACUGCAUGCAGUCAGGAGGCAUCAACAUCAGAAUUGUGGUGAUGAACAAUGUCUUGCCACGAGUCAUGAGGAUGCACUUUACGUAUGACUUGAAAGGCUCAACCUAUAAGCGAAGGGCAUCCCGGAAAGAGAGAGAAAAGUCCAACCCCACAUUUAAGGACCUAGAUUUCCUGCAAGACAUGCACGAAGGGCUGUAUUUUGAUACAGAAACAUAUAAUGCACUCAUGAAGACACUUCAGAGAGACUGCCGG